rnacentral:rRNA from 1 species
UACGGGGGGAGCAAGCGUUGUUCGGAUUUACUGGGCGUAAAGGGCGGGUAGGCGGCCACCGCAAGUCAGUUGUGAAAUCUCUGGGCUUAACCCAGAAAGGUCAACUGAUACUGCGGGGCUAGAGUGCAGAAGGGGCAACUGGAAUUCUCGGUGUAGCGGUGAAAUGCGUAGAUAUCGAGAGGAACACCUGCGGCGAAGGCGGGUUGCUGGGCUGACACUGACGCUGAACUGCGAAAGCUAGGGGAGCGAACAGG